rnacentral:rRNA from 1 species
ACGCUCGACACCUACGGGAGGCAGCAGUUAGGAAUAUUGGGCAAUGGAGGGAAACUCUGACCCAGCAACGCCGCGUGAAGGAAGAAGGUUUUCGGAUUGUAAACUUCUGAUCUAGGGAAGAAGAGUGACGGUACCCUAGGAGAAAGCCACGGCUAACUACGUGCCGGCAGCCGCGGUAAUCUGAGCGGGCUGGCAAGGC